AACGAAAAUGAUGAUCUUGCUGGAAUCGACACCGAGUAACACGGGACACGAGAAAUCUUGUGUGAAUCUGCCGGGACCAUCCGGUAAGGCUAAAUACUCCCAUGUGACCGAUAGUGAACUAGUACCGUGAGGGAAAGGUGAAAAGUACUCCUAACGGAGAGUGAAAUAGAACCUGAAACCGUAUGCCUACAAGCAGUCAGAGCUCCAGUUAUCUUCGGAUAGCGGAGUGAUGGCGUGCCUUUUGCAUAAUGAGCCAGUGAGUUACUCGUAUAUUGCAAGGUUAAGACUGUAAGGUCGGAGCCGUAGCGAAAGCAAGUCUGAAUAGGGCGUUGAGUAAUAUGCGGUAGACCCGAAACCGAGUGAUCUAGCCAUGGCCAGGAUGAAGUCCCGGUAACACGGGAUGGAGGUCCGAACCCACCAGCGUUGAAAAGCUGGGGGAUGAGCUGUGGUUAGGGGUGAAAGGCCAAUCAAACUCGGAGAUAUCUGGUUCUCGCCGAAAUGCCUUUAGGGGCAGCGUCAUGUUAGUGUACCGGGGGUAGAGCACUGAAUGGGCUAGGGGGCCUACAAGCCUACCAACCCCAAUCAAACUCCGAAUACCGGUAUUAUUUUGCAUGGCAGUGAGCUCAUGGGGGAUAAGCUUCAUGAACAAAAGGGAAAGAACCCAGACCAUCAGCUAAGGUCCCAAAGUCGAUGCUAAGUGAUAAAGGAUGUCAAAUCGCCCAGACAGCUAGGAGGUUGGCUUAGAAGCAGCCAUCCUUUAAAGAAAGCGUAAUAGCUCACUAGUCAAGGGGUUUUGCACCGAUAAUUUCCGGGACUAAGCAUCGCACCGAAGCUAUGGAUCACGACAUUUGUAUGUCGUGAUGGUAGGCGAGCGUUCCAUCGACCGUCGAAGGUUGACCCGUGAGGGCAGCUGGAGGAAAUGGAAAUGAGUAUGCUGGCAUGAGUAGCGAUAAAGCCUGUGAAAUGCAGGCUCGCCGCAAGCCCAAGGUUUCCUGAGUAAAGUUAAUCUGCUCAGGGUUAGUCGGACCCUAAGCCGAGGCCGAAAGGCGUAGGCGAUGGAAAACAGGUUUAAUAUUCCUGUACCAGUACAACAUUGUUUGAACUAAGGGGGGACGCAGAAGUGAAAGGUCAGCCCGGUUUUGAUUGUCCGGGUUUAAGUGUGUAGGGAGUCCUGGUAGGCAAAUCCGCCGGGACAUAAAUCCUGAGACACGAAUAGGAGAGCUUAGCUCAUAAACUGACCCUAAUCAUACUGCCAAGAAAAUCCUCUAUGUUAGAUGCUGCGCUGACCGUACCGUAAACGGACACACGUGGGCGAGGAGAGUAUCCUCAGGCGCUUGUGAGAAUCCAGGUUAAGGAACUCGGCAAAUUAGCCCCGUAACUUCGGGAGAAGGGGUGCCCUUAUUAGGUGAAAGACUUCGCGUCUGGAGCUGAACAGGGCCGCAGUGACCAGGCUCAAUCGACUGUUUACUAAAAACACAGGUCUCUGCUAAGUCGCAAGACGAAAUAUAGGGACUGACACCUGCCCGGUGCUGGAAGGUUAAAUGGAGAGGUUAGCACUUCGGUGCGAAGCUUUGAAAUGAAGCCCCAGUAAACGGCGGCCGUAACUAUAACGGUCCUAAGGUAGCGAAAUUCCUUGUCGGGUAAGUUCCGA
rnacentral:rRNA from 1 species